rnacentral:rRNA from 1 species
UACAGAGACUGCAAGCGUUAUUCGGAUCACUGGGCGUAAAGGGUGCGCAGGCGCAAGUGUGUGAAGGCGUGAAAGCCCGGGGCUUAACCCGGAAUUGCACUCAAACUACAUGGCUAGAGCAUUGGAGAGGUAGCAGAAUUCAUGGUGUAGCAGUGAAAUGCGUAGAUAUCAUGAGGAAUACCAGAGGCGAAGGCGGCUACCUGGACAAUUGCUGACGCUC